AACCCGACUGAGUUGGGCGAGUGGUUAGAAUUUCGUGGUUGAGGUGCCCAUGGUGCCAAUACGCCCGGGUUCGAAGCCUCACGCUGCAAACAAUUCUCUCGGGCCACUGGGGCAUUAUUACAUGGAGCUCGUCAGCGCCAGGAGGGGGAUUAGUCCUUUGGGCCUAGAAAGCCUUUGGGGAAACCCUGAAUUCCUUAAAAUUCAAAAAAAAAAAAACAUAUGUCAUAAGAUAUUACAACAAAAAUCAACGGAUAUCCACUAAGGAAAAGUUAUAACCUAAUCAUGUAAAUUGCCAUUAAUUAAUAUACUUAUAAGCCUAA
rnacentral:lncRNA from 1 species